GACGAACGCUGGCGGCGUGCCUAAUACAUGCAAGUCGAGCGAAGCGGCGGAUGGGUGAGUAAAGCGUGGGUAACCUGCCCUUAAGUCUGGGAUACCAUUUGGAAACAGAUGCCAAUACCGGAUACUAAAGGAUGGCCCUGCGAUGCAUUAGCUAGUUGGUAAGGUAACGGCUUACCAAGGCGAUGAUGCAUAGCCGAGUUGAGAGGCUGAUCGGCCACACUGGAAUUGAGACACGGUCCAGACUCCUACGGGAGGCAGCAGUGGGGAAGAUUGCACAAUGGGCGCAAGCCUGAUGCAGCCAUGCCGCGUGUAUGAAGAAGGCCUUCGGGUUGUAAAGUACUUUCAGCGAGGAGGCGUUACUCGCAGAAGAAGCACCGGCUAACUCCGUGCCAGCAGCCGCGGUAAUAC
rnacentral:rRNA from 1 species